GAUUUUCCCUCUGGAGGCUGAUCAGCAAAACAACACAGGAAGAGCUGGGCCAGUUGGAUGGUGAAGUAGGAGAAGAAGGCGAGGCUAACUACAUACCUCAUCCAUGGCCAGUUGGAUCUUCGCUCUAAGAGGCACCAGGGAACAGACAACAGCCAAGACCCAGAAAAGGAAGAGGAAUACAGAGGAGCGGCAGCCCCUUAUUCUUUCCAACUGGAUGAUGCAUAAUGCCAGGAUCUACAUGGAGACACACAGAGAGACAGAGAGACUUCAUUUCAGAAUUCAUAUGUGUGACAGGAGAGGAGACAGCUCCAGAACCAGAAGAGCAGAGAGCCAAAACUCUAAUCUGUGAGGCCACGUUGAUGAACCGCCUGGAGCGACACGAUGGACAGCAACGGGGAUUUCACAGCGUGAAUCCACUUUUUGAACUUAAACAAAUAUUAUUGACGUACCAAUGGGCAUAACAAUGCUUUCUAUGUUUUGUAGUAGAUAGUUAAGUUUUGCUUUCCAAGUUGUAAUUUAGCGCUAAUUCAAUUGUGGAAAAUAACAUUAAUUCCCAUGUAUUCCUGCCAGUGUCACAGCCAGGGUUUUCAAUGGACCAUAGAGAAUAUAAUCAGAUUUAGUCUGAUCUAAUGCAGUCGAUGGUGGUUUUGAAGCAGAACUUGUAAUUCUGGGAAUUCCCUUGCUGCUGGUGUGCAUGUGACUUGGCAGACUUCCGUCCAUGAAAAAAUGACACAUACAUGGUAUGCCGCAUGCCCUGCACACAUUGCUAAACAUUAUUAUAUAUACCUUCCUACACACACAAAAAAAAAACCUAUACCAUGAUGUUUUCCUAGAAAUAAGACUGAUUCAGUGUCUUUGUCUGUCCUCAGAGGAGUCGUGCAUCUGCCUGCGAACCGCUGUAAUUGGGCCCUCGCUGAGUGGCUGGCCAAGUGAGACGUCAUUUUGUCAUGCCAGCUCAUCACCAAGUGGGGAGAAAGCGGGUUUAGGUUUCAUAAUGAGUACCACAUUGGUUACACUGGGAUGAGCCACAGUGCUGUCCUGUUAUAAACAAGUGGUCUGGUAAUUAUAUAAGUUUUUUGCAUCAACAACCUGAUGCGUUUUAUGGGCAGACGUGUACACAUUUCUGUGCGGUGGCCAAGAGGGUCAACAUCUCCAUGUAUACCAAUGAUACAAACAACAUUUACAGUUUUUGUAUAUUCACUGCAGUGACACAGAGUCAUUUAUUGGGUUGUUCGUUCAUUUUCUCUUUACAUUUGAUACUUGCCAGCACUUCAGAGAAUGAACACAAAUAGUCUCUUACAAUCAUACCUAUGGGGAAUUUAGAGUCUCCAGUCCACCUCAGUUUCUUUGGGAAGUUGGAGCCAAAGAACACACCAACAGUAUGGCGGGGACGUGAACACAAGGACAUCAUGCAAACUCGAAUCGAGUAAAUGCCCAAGAACUUUAUGUACUUUAGGGGUAGAAAUGCCAUGAUUACAGAUACUGUAAUAACUACUAACUAAGUAGUUUCUCAGUUUUAGUAGACAGCAGGACUUCUUUCUUUUUUGGUGGUUUUGGUUUCUUGCAAGAACCAAAAAUAGUAGUCCAGCUGCCUUUUACUGAAGGUUUAAGAUUACCAUAAACUUGAUGACUCAGAAUCUGCACAGACAUCAAUUUUUGCUCUUUUUCCUUACUAGUUAUCAAUACAAGCGCUCUUACUUGUACUCUGCAUUAAUUGGCUGUUGAUGACAUUUUAUCAUCUUAUUAGAGUACCAUGGCAAUCUUGUUAUCAAAUUAUAUAUUUUCUUUACACAUCUGCAGAUACGGAGUAGCCUUAUCAUUUAUUUGGAGUUGGUUUGUGUCCAGCUGAGGAAUGCAAAUCUAAUACAAACUCUCUUUGUGGCUCAGUUUUGUUCUCCACCACUUGUUUAAUGCUCUACUAUGUUCACCAGAUAGUCACUAAUUUCAUCUGCUGUUUGGUGUUUGGCAGGUUUGUAGCUUUUGAGCUUGUAAAAGUUUUUCUCUGGAGACUUUAAUCAGUAAAGAUGGAGAUCGCAAAUUCAAAACAGUUAGCGGAAAGUUGCGAGAGAUCUGAUGGGAAACUGCAGAGUUGGUUGAUAAUCUGUGUGGAAUCGAUUUAAAAAGAGGAUUCCUGCAGCAUUAAAGAGAGCAUUUUCUUUAACUGAAACGCAGAACAGUUGAUUUUCCUGGAGUUUUAAUCAACUUGACAGAAAGUUCUCAAGCCCUCUGUGGGACUACAUAUCUCUUACAUCUAUAAGACCCACAGUGAGUUUCUCAGCAGUACCAAACCCACGGGAGGAACUUUAUGUUCUCAACAGCUUGUACUUUCGCCCCUAAUGGCAUGAGGCUGCAUCAGCCCCAAUCCAAACCUUAACAUAAAGCUUCCCUUCGGUCACUAUAGGUAGUAGGCAGGGUCCCUCCUAUUCCGGGCCUUCCGCUCUGACUUGCCAUAUUGCUGCAAACCAUCAGCCCAUCUGUUUGCACAAGUCAGUGGGUGGAACCAACUUCAUCACGAAGGCCCGAAUCAAAACCCUACCUUAUAAUUAUAUGGGAAGUGUGCAGUUCUGGGGAAGGAAUAGGAGCUUUACGUCAUGGUAUUACUGAUUAUAGUGGGUGUCAUGUGUGCAGUUUUCAUCAAUAGCGACCGCGUUUCACUCGUGGGCUGACUGACUAGGGGAAAAACGUUCCCAUACAUUAACUUGAGUUGAAAGGCCAGAAAACAAGUGGGUCGGAGCAACAAGGGCACAGUGUUCCCUUCCUGCACCGAGGGAACGCGCAACAUCGAGAAAAUUACAUCCUAUAAUAAAGAUAAAUCUGGUGAGUAGAUUAAAAGAUUGGCGACAUGCUCUUAAAAUGGUGUAGUGGGUGUUUGUUGUCUGGCCCCCCUUAUGUGAGAAAUUAUAUCCUCAAAAUAAAUGGCUUUUUUGGAGAUGUAUCCCUUGAUACAA